UCUCUUUUGACAUUUUCACUAAGUCAAAGAAAAAACAAAAAAUAAAACACCCACCUCUCUUUGUAUAAAUAAUAAUUAACAUCUACCAGGUCAAGUGCUCCAUCAUCAUCUCUUCUCUCUUUCUCUCUCUCCCUCUCUCUCUCUAAUCUUAAAAGUUAGCGCAAUCCUUUCUGCCUUGCAUUCACUCUUUUCUUGCCAUUAUAACCAACGCAAAGGCACAGAGGUGGGCUAGGAUUUCUAGGUGGAUCGAGUCUUCAAUGGCGGAGGAUCAGGACUGGGAUUUGUAUGCAGUAGUAAAGAGCUGCACCUCUGCUGCUGCUGCUACAAGCAGAAAUAGCAGCGGCAGCAACAUUAGUGAGAAUUUUGAGAGCCCUUUUGAGUGCUUGGAUUCUUUAACUUUUGAUGAAGAUGAUGGAGAAUCCAACCCAUUUUCUUUUCCAAAUCUUGCUUCCCAGCCUAGAAACAACAACUGUUUGCAAGAUUCUUACAAGCCUUUUUUGCCUAACUUCACCACCAGUACUGGUCUUCAAGGUAAGAACGCAACAACAAUAUUCCUAGCUUCUCCAUUUAUGAUUUUAGGGUCAUUUUUAGUGGCCAAAAGCAAUCACAACUUGCACAACAACAGCAACAACAACCACAACCACUAACCACACCGUCCACUAGUGUUGCCAUUAGUCCCUAGUUCAACAAUAGCCAAAAGCAGUCACAACAUAUACAGCAACAACAAAAUCAAAGGAGAUAAUUGCACCAGCAAGGGACUAGCACUUCUUCUCUCUUUCCUUUAAGAACAACACAACCUCAGACCCCAAGAAAAAAAAAAAGUAACCAGAAGAGGCUAAUAUCGCAUGUAACAGUAAAGAAUCUCUCUAAUGAUGUGUGGGCUUGGAGAAAAUAUGGUCAAAAACUCAUCAAAGGCUCUCCCUAUCCAAGGAACUACUACAGAUGCAACAGCUCAAAAGGGUGUGCAGCAAGAAAGCAAGUGGAGAGAAGCAAUACAGAUUCAAAUAUGUUUAUUGUCUGCUACACAGGUGAUCACACACACCCACGUCUGACUCACAGGAACUCACUUGCCAGGAGUACAAGAAACAAGGUCCAACAACCAGCUCAAAAGCUGGAAAACAAAGAAUCUGAGCAUCUCAUUUCAGCUGAUAGGGGUUCGUGUUGUUCUCCACUUUCAUCCACUAGUUUGUCUCCAAGAACCACACUUUCAACUCCCAUUUACAAUAUUAAGGCGGUAGAAAAUGAGCAAGAAAGCAUCAAAACACAUAAUUUGGAUGGCAAGCAUGGAUUGAUGGGAAGCGAUGAUUAUGAAGAUGAUGUCGAUGAUUGUGAUAAUGACAUUAAUGAC